GACGAACGCUGGCGGCGUGCUUAACACAUGCAAGUGGAGCGACGAACCAGGCUUCGGCCUGGGGCAAAGCCGCGAACGGGUGAGUAACACGUGGGUAACCUGCCCCGAAGAUCGGGACAACCCGGGGAAACCCGGGCUAAUACCGAAUGUGCUCCCGCCACAUCAGUGGCAGGUGCAAAGGAAGCUUCGGCCUCCGCUUCGGGAGGGGCCCGCGGCCCAUUAGCUUGUUGGUGAGGUAACGGCUCACCAAGGCUCCGAUGGGUAGCUGGUCUGAGAGGACGAUCAGCCACACUGGGACUGAGACACGGCCCAGACUCCUACGGGAGGCAGCAGUGGGGAAUCUUGCGCAAUGCGCGAAAGCGUGACGCAGCAACGCCGCGUGGGGAAGAAGGCC
rnacentral:rRNA from 1 species